GUCUGCAUGGAGCCGACCUUGAAAUACCACCCUUUAAUGUUUGAUGUUCUAACGUGGACCCGUAAUCCGGGUUGCGGACAGUGUCUGGUGGGUAGUUUGACUGGGGCGGUCUCCUCCUAAAGAGUAACGGAGGAGCACGAAGGUUGGCUAAUCCUGGUCGGACAUCAGGAGGUUAGUGCAAUGGCAUAAGCCAGCUUGACUGCGAGCGUGACGGCGCGAGCAGGUGCGAAAGCAGGUCAUAGUGAUCCGGUGGUUCUGAAUGGAAGGGCCAUCGCUCAACGGAUAAAAGGUACUCCGGGGAUAACAGGCUGAUACCGCCCAAGAGUUCAUAUCGACGGCGGUGUUUGGCACCUCGAUGUCGGCUCAUCACAUCCUGGGGCUGAAGUAGGUCCCAAGGGUAUGGCUGUUCGCCAUUUAAAGUGGUACGCGAGCUGGGUUUAGAACGUCGUGAGACAGUUCGGUCCCUAUCUGCCGUGGGCGCUGGAGAACUGAGGGGGGCUGCUCCUAGUACGAGAGGACCGGAGUGGACGCAUCACUGGUGUUCGGGUUGUCAUGCCAAUGGCACUGCCCGGUAGCUAAAUGCGGAAGAGAUAAGUGCUGAAAGCAUCUAAGCACGAAACUUGCCCCGA
rnacentral:rRNA from 8 species